rnacentral:pre_miRNA from 1 species
AAUGUAUGACGCUGUUGACUUUUUGUCCAACGUUUGACCAUUCGUCUUAUUCAAAAAAUUUAUGCAAUUAUUAUUUAUUUUAAUGUGACUUGAUUCAUCAUCAAAUGUUCUUUAAGGUUUAAGCAUGACAUAAAUGUUUUUAAUAUUUACACAAAAAAUUUGAAUAAAACGAAUGGUCAAACGUUGGUCGAAAAGUCAACGGUGUCAUACAU